AGAGUUUGAUCCUGGCUCAGGAUGAACGCUAGCUACAGGCUUAACACAUGCAAGUCGAGGGGCAGCGGUAUCGAAAGCUUGCUUUCGGUAGCCGGCGACCGGCGCACGGGUGAGUAACGCGUAUCGAACCUGCCUCAUACUCGGGAAUAGCCUUGCGAAAGUAAGAUUAAUGCCCGGUGUUUUCAGAGUCCCGCAUGAGGCUUUGAACAAAGAUUUAUCGGUAUGAGAUGGCGAUGCGUCCCAUUAGCUUGUUGGCGGGGUAACGGCCCACCAAGGCAUCGAUGGGUAGGGGUUCUGAGAGGAAGGUCCCCCACAUUGGAACUGAGACACGGUCCAAACUCCUACGGGAGGCAGCAGUGAGGAAUAUUGGUCAAUGGGCGGAAGCCUGAACCAGCCAAGUAGCGUGCAGGAAGACGGCCCUCCGGGUUGUAAACUGCUUUUAGUUGGGAAUAAAACGGGGCUCGUGAGCCCCCUUGCAUGUACCAUCAGAAAAAGGACCGGCUAAUUCCGUGCCAGCAGCCGCGGUAAUACGGAAGGUCCGGGCGUUAUCCGGAUUUAUUGGGUUUAAAGGGAGCGCAGGCGGACCUUUAAGUCAGCUGUGAAAUACGGCGGCUCAACCGUCGAACUGCAGUUGAUACUGGAGGUCUUGAGUGCACACAGGGAUGCUGGAAUUCAUGGUGUAGCGGUGAAAUGCUCAGAUAUCAUGAAGAACUCCGAUUGCGAAGGCAGGCAUCCCGGGGUGCAACUGACGCUGAGGCUCGAAAGUGCGGGUAUCAAACAGGAUUAGAUACCCCUGGUAGUCCGCACAGUAAACGAUGAAUACUCCCCGGUUUGCGAUACAGUGUAAGCCGCCAAGCGAAAGCGUUAAGUAUUCCACCUUGGGGAGUACGCCCGGCAACGGUGAAACUCCAAAGGAAUUGACCGGGGGCCCGCACAACCGGAGGAACAUUGGGGUUUAAUUCCAUGAUACCCCAAGGAACCUUACCCCGGGGUUUGAAUUGCCACCGACGGAAGGCGAGAACCAUCUUUCUUCUGACCGUUGGCGGAAGUGCUUCCAGGGUUGUCGUCAGCUCGUGCCGUGAGGUGUCGGCUUAAGUGCCAUAACGAGCGCAACCCUCAUCCUCGUUUGCCAUCAGGUGAUGCUGGGCACUCCGGGGACACUGCCAUCGUAAGAUGUGAGGAAGGUGGGGAUGACGUCAAAUCAGCACGGCCCUUACGUCCGGGGCUACACACGUGUUACAAUGGGCGGUACAGAGGGCAGCCACUGCGCGAGCAGGAGCCAAUCCUCAAAGCCGUUCUCAGUUCGGACUGGAGUCUGCAACCCGACUCCACGAAGCUGGAUUCGCUAGUAAUCGCGCAUCAGCCAUGGCGCGGUGAAUACGUUCCCGGGCCUUGUACACACCGCCCGUC
rnacentral:rRNA from 1 species